GUUGCUUCCUAAUGGUGAUCUCCCUUAAAUGAAAUGAUGAGGGAUGAUUCAAGUUUCCGAAGCAUAAAUAUGUGGUCAGUGUUAAACAGCGCCGGUGCGAUUUACUUCGUGCUGCACUGGCGCUACCUGUCUGCUGAUAUAUUU
rfam:Eucalyptus grandis cultivar BRASTZ1 unplaced genomic scaffold scaffold_5, whole genome shotgun sequence.